GAGUUGUCAAAGCGAGUUUUCCCUGCAAAACUCUCGCCGCUGCGAGUUCCCAAAAAGCGAAGCGACCACCACACCUCUCGCCGGAGAUGCCGCCGGGGACCCCUCUGCCGUCGACGGGGGCGUGGACCUGGGAGAACGCCGUCGCCGGAGCGACCGCCGGCUUCGCCACCGUCGCCACCUUCCACCCGCUCGACGUCGUCCGCACCCGCUUCCAAGUGAGCGGCGGGAGAGGGUUGUCCGACUUGCCGCCGUACAGGAACACGGGACACGCUGUAUACACCAUCGCACGAUCUGAGGGCCUGAGGGGACUUUAUGCCGGCUUUUAUCCUGCAGUUCUGGGGUCAACCGUUUCUUGGGGGCUAUAUUUCUUUUUUUAUAACAGAGCUAAACAAAGAUACUUGCAGGAGAAGGAUGUUCAGCUCCGUCCAUUCGACCAUCUUGCCUCAGCUGCAGAAGCAGGUGCUUUGGUUUGCCUGUUUACAAAUCCCAUAUGGCUGGUGAAAACACGGAUGCAACUACAAACACCUGGGCAUACUUCAUCUUAUUCUGGAUUUUCUGAUGCUUUGAGAACUAUUCGGAAAGAGGAGGGAUGGCGAGCACUUUAUAGAGGGAUCGGGCCUGGACUUUUGCUGGUCACCCAUGGCGCGAUACAAUUCACUGCCUAUGAGGAACUUCGCAAGGCUAUGAUAUCUGCGAAAAGUAAACAAACAAGGGGAGAUGACAAAGGCAGCGAGGAUUUAUUGAACUCCGUUGAUUAUGCGGCACUUGGCGCUGGUUCAAAAUUAUCUGCUAUUCUGCUUACUUAUCCUUAUCAGGUUAUCCGAGCCCGCUUACAGCAACGACCUGGUAGUGAUGGUAUCCCAAAGUACUCAGAUAGUUGGCAUGUAGUGAAGGAAGCUGCAAGGUACGAAGGUGUCCGUGGGUUUUACAGGGGCAUCACUUCCAACCUAUUGAAGAACCUUCCAGCAGCUUCCGUGACGUUUGUGGUGUAUGAAAACGUUAUCAAACUAUUCAGAGCAGCCAAGGAGAAGACGUAAUUCCAACUUGCAACUGGAGCCAGGAGAAACAUAGGAGGAACUAGGAAAGACACUAAUGUUCCGCGCAAAUACAGAAUCUGUUCAUUCACCACACUAUCCGAGCUCAACGUGAUGUUCCAUCACAUUUCCCAGUUCAGCUCUUAUUGACUUAACAGAAACGGAAUUUAGUUUGGCGAACUUGUUUUUUGUAGAGAAAAUUCAUUUUCUAAGAAACAGCUCAUUGGUUCAUGUUGUCCAGUUGAAUGCUUGUUGAAGAUAGAGCUCUGGUUCUAUGUGUGGUUCAACGUGUGAUUGCGUCAGU
rnacentral:rRNA from 1 species